UCUCCCUUAGCUCAGUGGUUAGAGCAUCCAACGGGAACUGGAAGGUCACGGGUUCGACUCCCAUUGGGGGGAG